rnacentral:tRNA from 1 species
GCAACCAUGGUGUAGUUGGUUAUCACGUGUGCCUCACACGCACAAGGUCCCCAGUUCGAUCCUGGGUGGUUGCA